GCCUGGAGGACAUUUUUGAGGAAAGAAGUAUAUUUCUCCAAAUUGUUUUUUGAAAUGUAUCAUCAUAUAUUCAUUUCAAAAUAAUAAUUUGCAGGUUUUAGGAUUGUCUGUCUUCGAGUUUUGAUGAAGGCAGCUACCCCAGCAUGGGACUUUGGUCUUUUUGGGAAGGUGGUGUGAAUAUAAAGCAGAGCCACCAGCAGCAGCAACAAUAAAGCACUUGGCAGCCUUCAGAGACUUCUCCCCAAGACGCUGGAGCCAACGGAGGAGGAGAAAGGUUACAGGUCUACAUUUCCUUUAUGAGACGCCUGAGGAAUUGUUGAAUCAACGGUUUUGCACACAUAAAGAAACAGCUUCAUGUCAAGGUAACUUGGAAGUUGGAAGUUGAAGGAAACUGUUAUGUAAAUAAAGAAGACUGAUAAAACAGAAGAAAACAGAGCAAGUAAAGAUACCAUGCUCAGAAAAAAAUCCAAGAAGGCAUACAAUAAA